AUUGAACGCUGGCGGCAGGCCUAACACAUGCAAGUCGAGCGAGCGGCGGACGGGUGAGUAAUGUCUGGGAAACUGCCUGAUGGAGGGGGAUAACUACUGGAAACGGUAGCUAAUACCACAUACCAUCAGAUGUGCCCAGAUGGGAUUAGCUAGUAGGUGGGGUAAUGGCUCACCUAGGCGACGAUCCCUAGCUGGUCUGAGAGGAUGACCAGCACAACUGGAACUGAGACACGGGCCAGACUCCGACGGGAGGCAGCAGUGGGGAAUAUUGCAAAAUGGGCGAAAGACUGAUGCAGCAAUGCAGCGUGUGUGAAGAAGGCCGUCGGGGUGUAAAGCACUUUCAGCGGGGAGGCGUUACCCGCAGAAGAAGCACCGGCUAACUCCGUGCCAGCAGCCGCGGUAAUUC
rnacentral:rRNA from 1 species